GUCGAACGGCAGCACGGGGGCAACCCUGGUGGCGAGUGGCGAACGGGUGAGUAAUACAUCGGAACGUGCCCAGUCGUGGGGGAUAACUACGCGAAAGCGUAGCUAAUACCGCAUACGAUCUACGGAUGAAAGCGGGGGAUCGCAAGACCUCGCGCGAUUGGAGCGGCCGAUGGCAGAUUAGGUAGUUGGUGGGGUAAAGGCUCACCAAGCCGACGAUCUGUAGCUGGUCUGAGAGGACGACCAGCCACACUGGGACUGAGACACGGCCCAGACUCCUACGGGAGGCAGCAGUGGGGAAUUUUGGACAAUGGGCGCAAGCCUGAUCCAGCCAUUCCGCGUGCAGGAUGAAGGCCCUCGGGUUGUAAACUGCUUUUGUACGGAACGAAAAGCCUUCUUCUAAUACAGGAGGGUCAUGACGGUACCGUAAGAAUAAGCACCGGCUAACUACGUGCCAGCAGCCGCGGUAAUACGUAGGGUGCAAGCGUUAAUCGGAAUUACUGGGCGUAAAGCGUGCGCAGGCGGUGAUGUAAGACAGAUGUGAAAUCCCCGGGCUCAACCUGGGAACUGCAUUUGUGACUGCAUCGCUGGAGUGCGGCAGAGGGGGAUGGAAUUCCGCGUGUAGCAGUGAAAUGCGUAGAUAUGCGGAGGAACACCGAUGGCGAAGGCAAUCCCCUGGGCCUGCACUGACGCUCAUGCACGAAAGCGUGGGGAGCAAACAGGAUUAGAUACCCUGGUAGUCCACGCCCUAAACGAUGUCAACUGGUUGUUGGGUCUUCACUGACUCAGUAACGAAGCUAACGCGUGAAGUUGACCGCCUGGGGAGUACGGCCGCAAGGUU
rnacentral:rRNA from 1 species